rnacentral:rRNA from 1 species
GAUGAACGCUGGCGGCGUGCCUAAUACAUGCAAGUCGAGCGAACAGACGAGGAGCUUGCUCCUCUGACGUUAGCGGCGGACGGGUGAGUAACACGUGGAUAACCUACCUAUAAGACUGGGAUAACUUCGGGAAACCGGAGCUAAUACCGGAUAAUAUACUGAACCGCAUGGUUCAAUAGUGAAAGACGGUGUUGCUGUCACUUAUAGAUGGAUCUGCGCCGCAUUAGCUAGUUGUUAAGGUAACGGCUUACCAAGGCAACGAUGCGUAGCCGACUGAAGAGGGUGAUCGGCCACACUGGAACUGAGCCACGGUCCAGACUCCUACGGGAGGCAGCAGUAGGGAAUCUUCCGCAAUGGGCGAAAGCCUGACGGAGCAACGCCGCGUGAGUGAUGAAGGUCUUCGGAUCGUAAAACUCUGUUAUUAGGGAAGAACAAAUGUGUAAGUAACUAUGCACGUCUUGACGGUACCUAAUCAGAAAGCCACGGCUAACUACGUG